UACGAAGGGUGCUAGCGUUGUUCGGAAUCACUGGGCGUAAAGAGCGCGUAGGCGGCGAUGCAAGUCAGGGGUGAAAUCCCACAGCUUAACUCUGGAAUUGCCUUUGAAACUAUAUUGCUAGAGUGUCGGAGAGGAUGGCGGAAUUCCUAAUGUAGAGGUGAAAUUCGUAGAUAUUAGGAGGAACACCGGUGGCGAAGGCGGCCAUCUGGACCACUACUGACGCUGAGGCGCGAAAGCGUGGGGAUCAAACAGGAUUAGAUACCCUGGUAGUCCACGCCGUAAACGAUGGGUGCUAGCUGUAAGGCAGUUUACCCCUCUGUGGCGCAACUAACGCGUUAAGCACCCCGCCUGGGGAGUACGGUCGCAAGAUUAAAACUCAAAGAAAUUGACGGGGACCCGCACAAGCGGUGGAACAUGUGGUUUAAUUUGAGGCAACGCGAAGAGCCUUACCAGGGUUUGACAUGCUCUUUAAAUCCUCCCCAAAAGGAGGAGUCAGUUCGGCUGGAAGAUGCACAGGUGCUGCAUGGCUGUUGUCAGCUCGUGUCGUGAGAUGUUGGGUUAAGUUCCGCAACGAGCGCCACCCUCAUCCUCUGUUGCUAACAGGUAAUGCUGAGAACUUCGAGGAAACUGCCGGUGAUAAGCCGGAGGAAGGUGGGGAGGACGUCAAGUCUUCAUGGCCCUUACUCCAUGGGCUCCCCACGUGUUCCAAUGGCAGUGCCAAUGGGCAGCUAACCCGGGAGGGUAUGUGAAUCCCCAAAAGCUGCCUCAGUUUGGAUUGCAGUCUGCAACUCGAGUGCAUGAAAUUGGAAUCGCUAGUAAUGGUAGAUCAGCACGCUACGGUGAAUACGUUCCCGGGUCU
rnacentral:rRNA from 1 species